CCUACGGGAGGCAGCAGUGGGGAAUAUUGCACAAUGGGCGAAAGCCUGAUGCAGCGACGCCGCGUGAGGGAUGAAGGCCUUCGGGUUGUAAACCUCUUUCAGCAGGGACGAAGCGCAAGUGACGGUACCUGCAGAAGAAGCACCGGCUAACUACGUGCCAGCAGCCGCGGUAAUACGUAGGGUGCGAGCGUUGUCCGGAAUUACUGGGCGUAAAGAGUUCGUAGGCGGUUUGUCGCGUCGUUUGUGAAAACCCGGGGCUCAACUUCGGGCUUGCAGGCGAUACGGGCAGACUUGAGUGUUUCAGGGGAGACUGGAAUUCCUGGUGUAGCGGUGAAAUGCGCAGAUAUCAGGAGGAACACCGGUGGCGAAGGCGGGUCUCUGGGAAACAACUGACGCUGAGGAACGAAAGCGUGGGUAGCAAACAGGAUUAGAUACCCUGGUAGUCCACGCCGUAAACGGUGGGCGCUAGGUGUGGGUUCCUUCCACGGAAUCUGUGCCGUAGCUAACGCAUUAAGCGCCCCGCC
rnacentral:rRNA from 1 species